GGUUUUCGGAUCGUAAAGCUCUGUUGUUAGAGAAGAGCAGGUGCCAGAGGAAAUGCUGGUGCUGUGACGGUAUCCAACCAGAAAGCCACGGCUAACUACGUGCCAGCAGCCGCGGUAAUACGUAGGUGGCAAGCGUUGUCCGGAAUUAUUGGGCGUAAAGCGCGCGCAGGCGGUUUGUCACNGUCUGCUGUGAAAACCCGAGGCUCAACCUCGGGCCUNCAGUGGGUACGGGCAGACUAGAGUGCGGUAGGGGAGAACGGAAUUCCUGGUGUAGCGNUGGAAUGCGCAGAUAUCAGGAGGAACACCGAUNGCGAAGGCAGNUCUCUGGGCCGUAACUNACGCUUUAGGAGCGAAAGCGUGGGGAGCGAACAGGAUUAGAUACCCUGGUAGGCC
rnacentral:rRNA from 1 species